AGUAUAAUUAUUAUACUUUCAAAAAUAUAAGAGAGCACCGAUUGUUUCUAGCGCAAGUGGCAAAGGGCUAAAAAGUUAGUACCCGAGGUCCCAAGUUCGAAUCCUAUUUGAUUCACAUCUCCAGCUAAGCUUAUUUCUAAAUGAAAUAAACGAAGCCGGUAACAUACUAUCAAUCUCUCAAAAAAUUAUAAGAGAGCUGGUACUUCCUAUAUAGUAGAGUUAGUAUACUUCCGAAAGUAGAAGGUAGUUGAUGCUUUUAACUUUUUAGUCAUUGAAUCGAUCCCUUUGAUUAUUUAUGGUCUUUAGAUUAAUAUUAUUAUCGUAGAGGAACCACUCAACUAUAGAAAAACUACUCAACCCUAAGGGAGACUACUAUCAUUACGACCCUACAAUCCUCACACUGUAUAUAUUUUGGCUAUUU
rnacentral:lncRNA from 1 species